rnacentral:rRNA from 1 species
AAUAGAUACCCAGGUAGUCCACGCCGUAAACGAUGAGUGCUAAGUGUUAGAGGGUUUCCGCCCUUUAGUGCUGCAGCUAACGCAUUAAGCACUCCGCCUGGGGAGUACGGCCGCAAGGCUGAAACUCAAAGGAAUUGACGGGGGCCCGCACAAGCGGUGGAGCAUGUGGUUUAAUUCGAAGCAACGCGAAGAACCUUACCAGGUCUUGACAUCCUCUGCCAACCCUAGAGAUAGGGCAUACCCCUUCGGGGGACAGAGUGACAGGUGGUGCAUGGUUGUCGUCAGCUCGUGUCGUGAGAUGUUGGGUUAAGUCCCGCAACGAGCGCAACCCUUGAUCUUAGUUGCCAGCAUUCAGUUGGGCACUCUAAGGUGACUGCCGGUGACAAACCGGAGGAAGGUGGGGAUGACGUCAAAUCAUCAUGCCCCUUAUGACCUGGGCUACACACGUGCUACAAUGGAUAGUACAAAGAGCUGCGAACCCGCGAGGGUAAGCGAAUCUCAUAAAGCCAUUCUCAGUUCGGAUUGGUA